GCAAGGGGAGCGGCAGACGGGUGAGUAACGCGUGGGAACGUACCCUUUGCUACGGAAUAGCUCCGGGAAACUGGAAUUAAUACCGUAUGUGCCCUACGGGGGAAAGAUUUAUCGGCAAAGGAUCGGCCCGCGUUGGAUUAGCUAGUUGGUGGGGUAAUGGCCUACCAAGGCGACGAUCCAUAGCUGGUCUGAGAGGAUGAUCAGCCACAUUGGGACUGAGACACGGCCCAAACUCCUACGGGAGGCAGCAGUGGGGAAUAUUGGACAAUGGGCGCAAGCCUGAUCCAGCCAUGCCGCGUGAGUGAUGAAGGCCUUAGGGUUGUAAAGCUCUUUCACCGGAGAAGAUAAUGACGGUAUCCGGAGAAGAAGCCCCGGCUAACUUCGUGCCAGCAGCCGCGGUAAUACGAAGGGGGCUAGCGUUGUUCGGAAUUACUGGGCGUAAAGCGCACGUAGGCGGGCAUUUAAGUCAGGGGUGAAAUCCCAGAGCUCAACUCUGGAACUGCCUUUGAUACUGGGUGUCUUGAGUAUGGAAGAGGUGAGUGGAAUUCCGAGUGUAGAGGUGAAAUUCGU
rnacentral:rRNA from 1 species